rnacentral:rRNA from 1 species
AUUGAACGCUGGCGGCAUGCCUUACACAUGCAAGUCGAACGGCAGCACGGGAGCAAUCCUGGUGGCGAGUGGCGAACGGGUGAGUAAUAUAUCGGAACGUGCCCAGUCGUGGGGGAUAACGUAGCGAAAGCUACGCUAAUACCGCAUACGAUCUAUGGAUGAAAGCGGGGGAUCGCAAGACCUCGCGCGAUUGGAGCGGCCGAUAUCAGAUUAGGUAGUUGGUGAGGUAAAGGCUCGCCAAGCCGACGAUCUGUAGCUGGUCUGAGAGGACGACCAGCCACACUGGGACUGAGACACGGCCCAGACUCCUACGGAGGCAGCAGUGGGGAAUUUUUGGGACAAUGGGCGCAAGCCUGAUCCAGCAAUGCCGCGUGCAGGAUG